GACGAACGCUGGCGGCGUGCCUAAUACAUGCAAGUAGAACGCACAGUUUAUACCGUAGCUUGCUACACCAUAGACUGUGAGUUGCGAACGGGUGAGUAACGCGUAGGUAACCUGCCUGGUAGCGGGGGAUAACUAUUGGAAACGAUAGCUAAUACCGCAUAAUAUUAAUUAUUGCAUGAUAAUUAAUUGAAAGGUGCAAUUGCACCACUACCAGAUGGACCUGCGUUGUAUUAGCUAGUAGGUGAGGUAACGGCCCACCUAGGCGACGAUACAUAGCCGACCUGGGAGGGUGAUCGGCCACACUGGGACUGAGACACGGCCCAGACUCCUACGGGAGGCAGCAGUAGGGAGUCUUCGGCAAUGGACGAAAGUCUGACCGAGCAACGCCGCGGGAGUGAAGAAGGUUGUCGGAUCGUAAAGCUCUGUUGUAAGAGAAGAACGGGUGUGAGAGUGGAAAGUUCACACUGUGACGGUAUCUUACCAGAAAGGGACGGCUAACUACGUG
rnacentral:rRNA from 1 species